GAUGAACGCUGGCGGCGUGCCUAAUACAUGCAAGUCGAGCGAACAGACGAGGAGCUUGCUCCUCUGACGUUAGCGGCGGACGGGUGAGUAACACGUGGAUAACCUACCUAUAAGACUGGGAUAACUUCGGGAAACCGGAGCUAAUACCGGAUAAUAUAUUGAACCGCAUGGUUCAAUAGUGAAAGACGGUUUUGCUGUCACUUAUAGAUGGAUCCGCGCCGCAUUAGCUAGUUGGUAAGGUAACGGCUUACCAAGGCAACGAUGCGUAGCCGACCUGAGAGGGUGGUCGGCCACACUGGAGCUGAGACACGGUCCAGACUCCUACGGGAGGCAGCAGUAGGGAAUCUUCCGCAAAGGGCGAAAGCUUGACGGAGCAACGCCGCGUGAGUGAUGAAGGUCUUCGGAUCGUAAAGCUCUGUUAUUAGGGAAGAACAAAUGUGUAAGUAACUAUGCACGUCUUGACGGUACCUAAUCAGAAAGCCACGGCUAACUACGUG
rnacentral:rRNA from 1 species